AGAUGUGAAGGCAAUGUGGCUGCAACAUUUGUCUUCCCAUUGAUCAACCCAGCUCUGGGGUACUUUGGAUGAUCUGGUGGCUAGACAAUAUUGCCUUCUUCCUUCACUUCCACUUGCCACUCGGGAAGCUACAUUCUAGCUUGAACAGGACCUCCUUCAGUACAGAAGGACCAUUUUUCAGUAAAUGUGCCUACUAGAGCUUCCAAAUAAGCCGCAAGGUUCACUAUGUGUACAUAUAUUUACACCU
rnacentral:sRNA from 1 species